GGGCCAGCCCAAAAAAAAAGACAACAAGGGGAUUAUUAGAAAACUGUUUUCUCAGCAUCUUGCUGAUUUAACACCUAUAUAAUUCCCACACCACACUCUGAUUUUAUUGACUUGGGUAAGUGUACUAUGUGUUUUUUACUUGAAAAACUUACAUAUGUGACUAAAAGUCAUGAACAGUAUCUUUUACUCCGUUAUAAAAUUGUUUUUUCACACAUAUGUAUAAUAAUACAGCAAGAAGCAUAUCUAUCUAGCCAUGAAACAAUGUCUACAAAACUUUAUUCAAAUGAAAGGACUGUUUGCAGAUAAUCGGAUUUAUUGAAUUAUUUAUUUUGAUGAAGCUGAAGGCCACUUUCACAUACUUCAUUUCUAAAGGUGGGCUGAAAUUUUACAGAAUCCUACAUAGUUUCUCCCCAUGUAAUCAAAAUAUUGUUAUUCUGGUUCUAGUGUUUGUCUUUCGGAAAGAAGCACUUUUAGAACAUAAUUUCCUGUCCAGUGUCCACUAUCUGUAGAUUUCUUAGGAACCCAACAAUCAAUUCUUUUUUAAAGGAGAAAAGAAAGAAAAAAAUCCAUUCUUACUUGAAUAGAUGCACAUUAAACUAGUAUUAAUCUAGGAAAAGAUGAUAGGUAGAAAUAUUAUUUUAGUCAUAAAAUUCUUUUUCUAAGAAGCCCAUCUCAAACGUAAACACAUGUGAUCAUUUGAAAUUCCUCUCUUCACUUGGGCACAUCUAAACCAGUAUAGAAAUAAUACACUGCUUGCUUAAUUCUUGGGAACAUAUUUGCAUCAGAAUUUAAAGAUGGGUUUUGAAAUUUAUAACAUUACAUUGUUUAAGAUAUACAAAAAAUCAGUCUUUUACUCAAUAUGUUUACAGCAAAAGA